rnacentral:rRNA from 1 species
GACGAAGGAUGCAAGCGUUAUCCGGAUUCAUUGGGCUUAAAGGGCGCGUAGGUGGCCUUAUAAGUCAGUGGUGAAAUCUCUGGGCUUAACCCAGAAAUUGCCAUUGAUACUGUAGGGCUUGAGUAUAGAUGCCGUUGGCGGAAUAUGACAUGUAGUGGUGAAAUACAUAGAGAUGUCAUAGAACACCGAUUGCGAAGGCAGCUAACGAAACUAUAACUGACACUGAGGCUCGAAAGUGUGGGGAGCAAACAGG